GACAACUUGAACAAGGGCCAUCUUGAUUAUUAUUUCUGGCUCUUAGCUGGACUUAGCGUCAUAAACAUGUUCGUCUACAUUGUCUGUGCCAAAAAAUACAAACAGAAGAAGGCCUCUUGAGGUAAACAACAAGGGACGGUCUCAUAUCCACAUGCAGGAAGGGUCUUAGUUGCAAGUGGUUUGUAAAUAAAAUUAUAAUGUUCUACAACU
rnacentral:misc_RNA from 1 species